GACGAACGCUGGCGGCGCGCCUAACACAUGCAAGUCGAACGAGCGAGAGGAGGUUUACUUUCUCAAGCGAGUGGCGAACGGGUGAGUAACGCGUGAGGAACCUGCCUCAAAGAGGGGGACAACAGUUGGAAACGACUGCUAAUACCGCAUAAGCCCACGACCCGGCAUCGGGUAGAGGGAAAAGGAGCAAUCCGCUUUGAGAUGGCCUCGCGUCCGAUUAGCUAGUUGGUGAGGUAAUGGCCCACCAAGGCGACGAUCGGUAGCCGGACUGAGAGGUUGAACGGCCACAUUGGGACUGAAACACGGCCCAGACUCCUACGGGAGGCAGCAGUGGGGAAUAUUGCACAAUGGGGGAAACCCUGAUGCAGCGACGCCGCGUGGAGGAAGAAGGUCUUCGGAUUGUAAACUCCUGUUGUUGAGGAAGAUAAUGACGGUACUCAACAAGGAAGUGACGGCUAACUACGUG
rnacentral:rRNA from 1 species